rnacentral:rRNA from 1 species
GGCGAACGCUGGCGGCGUGCUUAACACAUGCAAGUCGAACGGACAGGCCCUGCUCUUGUUGGUUUCUCGUGUGGCGAACGCGUGUGUAACACGCGAGUAUCCUCCCCUUGUCUUUGGGAUAUCUUCAGGAAACUCGGGCUCAUACCCGAUAUGAUCUCCUGCUCCAUGGGGGGCGUUGGAAAGUUUCGGCGGUUGGGGAUCGAGUCGCGGCUUAUCAGCUUGUUGGUGGGGUAGUGGCUUACCCAGGCUUUGACGGGUAGCCGGCCUGAGAGGGUGACCGGCGACAUGGGGACUGAGAGAGGGCCCAGAAGGGUAAGGGAGGCAGAAGGGGGGAAUAUUGCAAAAGGGGCGGAAGCCUGAUGAAGAAACGCCGCGGGCGGGAUGACGGCCUUCGGGGUGUAAACCGAUUUGGCCUGUGAAGAAGAGUGAGUGACGGUAAUGGGUAAAGAAGCACCGGCUAACUAAGUG